rnacentral:rRNA from 1 species
UACGUAGGGGGCGAGCGUUGUCCGGAAUCAUUGGGCGUAAAGCGCGCGUAGGCGGCCCCGUAAGUCCGCUGUGAAAGUCAAAGGCUCAACCUUUGAAAGCCGGUGGAUACUGUGGGGCUAGAGUCCGGAAGAGGCGAGUGGAAUUCCUGGUGUAGCGGUGGAAUGCGCAGAUAUCAGGAGGAACACCUGUGGUGUAGACAGCUUACUGGACCACUUCUGACGCUGAGACACGAAAGCGUGGGUAGCAAACAGG